GUUUAAUAUAUAGUUUUAAGAAUUCUUUCAAAUGAACUAAACUAUUUUUUUAUUGCCAAUGUCCUUUAAUUUAAAAAAGAAAAGUGGUUGCACCUGCAGAAACCCAGUUUGGACCCAUAUUGAUCGCUCACUCUCAAGAUAAAACAUUAAUGUGACCCAUUUCUUGACGUGACAUAAUCCAAGAUCGCAAACAGCUCACUUUUUUCAGUCGAAAUAUUUGGAAACCUAAGCAAGAUAUAAACAAUCUGUAAUGGAGUUUUAUAAUAUAUAGUUUUGAG